CCUGCCUUCUGAUUUGUGAAUGUCGUCCUAUGGGAGAUUGGCUCGAUGUUGUGGCAGAUGAACAACCAUAGGAUGGCUAUAGAAGGGGUGAGGUCAAUCUGAUACCAAUCUGCAGUAGGGAGAGACCAAGCAUUUUCACGUCCCAAUAAAACUUCUGCAACCUCAACCCAGUUGAAAUCAUGCGGGACUGGGACUACAUUAGUCCAAGUGAGCUGAUAGUAGUUAUGAAUUACUUCAAGUGAAAACAUGAUCCAUUUGCCCCGAACCCAUGUUUGAUGCAGAUGAUCGAAUCCAGGUGUGUCUAUUUCGGUAUUGAAGUUGGCAUAGAAUUCCCUCACCAAAUUUUCAUAGAUGGGGUGUGGUCUUUCAAUCACUUUCUCCCAACCACAGUUGUGGAUUAAAUAAACCAAUUCAAAACCCUGGAAAUUAUCCAACUUAACUGGUCUUUCGGGGAUGAGUGCCCACUCACG
rnacentral:lncRNA from 1 species